UGAAAUUUCGCGGGACGCUUAAACUACGAUCGCGAUCUUGUUCGAAUGAAACCGUUCCCGCAGUCGAAGAGUUAAUUAUGAGCUCAACUAGUACAUUUUUUAACAAAUAUGAAAGUGAACAAUAUUUUUUUUUAAUUGAAAUUGUAUACGUGUUAUGUACAAUAUGUGUUAACAAUGUACACUAUCUUUUUAUUAUUAUGGGAAGUGAAAGUAUACAUGAAAUGUUUGUUAUGGAAUUAAGUAAAGAUAGAUUUGUAAAAUGACACAUUGUACGUCGCCAUGUUGUUUGACGUUCGUGACUACGUCAGACUCCUCGAUGGAGAGUAAUAAUCGAUCCGACGGAAAAUGAUUUGUUUUCAUUUACGUAACCACGCUCGUUGAUUAUUUCUAUCUUGCUUCCGUAAACCAUGCAAUGAGAUUUUUAUAAUUGACGCGAGUAACACUCUGUUUUCUGCAUUAUCGAUACUAGUUGUUUAGUAAUAUGUUCAGUAAAGUGUUCAGAGAUUUGUUCAGUCUGAUUCGAUUGCUGUUUAAAUAAAACGCUUCGCAUGUACUACAUCAGCAGGACUAAUCAAUUUUACACGUUGUUGAUUGAAAUAUCAAAGACACCAAGGGAAGAAGAAGAUGAACAGUGGGAAAACCUGUACAGGUCGAAUUGAAGCGAAGAGGGAUAACAUUUGAGAGCAUGGAAUUGGUCAAAGCAGAAACGUUGGAGGCUUUCAACAAGCUAACGCAAGAAGACAUCCAGCAUUGCUUUACACAUUGGAAAAAUCGGAUGGAGCGGUGCGAGGAUUGUCUAGAGGAAUAUAUAUUUAAAGCGAUCAAAUUUCAAUUGUAACUGGCGACUAAUAAAAAGUUUGAUGACAUUAGUUCGGUUAUUUGAUAACCAUUCCUCGUAUUAUCCAAAGAACAUGGCUUACACCCGGAAGCUUUAGAAUACUUUCGUGGCUUACUGUACGUUUCUGAUCAAUGUGUGUUAAUCGUCUGGGCAUGUACAUGUAUCCGCGAUCACGUUUGUCGUUCGCGGAAAUUGUGAACGCAAUAUUGAGAAUAACGAAGGCUUGAUUGUCCCUUUGUUAUCAGAGCGCGAACAAUCCAUUUCGAGAUUAAAUGCUCUUUACGGCGAGGAACCUGUCGCGAGUAAUUACGGUGUUCAAUGUCGAAGUCCCAGAACAAUGUUAUAUAGGAUGUUUCAAACUACACGGUCUGUCUAAAAAGAAACCGAAUUUU